AUGGAUAUGGUCAGAGUGGAGAAAAGCCAAGAAAAGAGUUCUUCAAAAUCAUCGUUAAUGGAGUCUGCAUUUUCACCGUUAAUGACAUCAGCAUCCAAAAACCUAUCAAAAGUAGGUGACGGGGGAAGAAAGGUAAGCAAUGAGAAAGUGGUGGAUGUUUUAGGAUUCUGGAAGGGUUUGCAUGGUGCUAAUAUGGACAUGGUUUGGAAGUUUGUAUUAGCAAAAGAGUGUUUUGAUGAGGAUGAGAAAAUGGGAGAAAGUGAAAGAAAGUUUAUAGUACUCUUCAUAGUGUGA